CGAAAUUUGUAGACAAGGGACCCUUGAAUAUGGUGGAGCAGCAGCCUCUAAGGCAAGGUAUUCCAUACGGUGAAGCAGCUGCCAAAACAAGUGGCUGGUGAAAGAAGGAAACAUCAUGUUAGAACAGCACAAGGAGUGUAUCAACUUUUAUGAGACAAUGGGGCUUCUCAGGGAAAGGGGCUGUCCCCACCAGAUUUGAACUGAGAAGAUGGGUAUCAGACAAUGGGGCUUCUCAGGGAAAGGGGCUGUCCCCACCAGAUUUGAACUGAGAAGAUGGGUAUC
rnacentral:misc_RNA from 1 species